AAUUUUGAUGUUCCUUCUUUUUCAUCCACAGGUGGAAAGUGGUGGUGCGAGAGUGGCGCAAGUUUCAGCAAGAAAUUUUAGUUUCGAGCAUCUGAUAGUUAAAAGUUGGCACUGUGAGAGAAAUAUGAAAAAUAUUCAUACGAAUAGUAUAUGCUGGAUACACUAAAGAGGAUACAAAAUUAAGAAAGUUAUAAUCUAUUGAUCGUUCCAUUAAAAGCUUCAGUAUAAAGGGGUAAACAUUGAAUAAAUUAUAUUGACUUCACCGUUAUACUAAAUAAAAAAAAAUUUAUGCCAUUGGAAAAUACUUACAACGUAUUAUAUUAUGCUAACGCCCAAAAUCAUAGAAAUUACCACCAUAAAACGACAAUUAACCCAAACUUCAGCUACUUCUUGUGAUCAACAAGUGCAUAUUAAUAUUGAAAGGGAAGUAACCAAAUCCCCGUUAUAGAUUGCCGUUAUCUGAGUACCUUCGGUACGUAUACGGGUAUAUUUGACGCUGGUCGUUUAAAAGUUGUUACGUAGAUAACAGAGAAUAAGUAGUUUUACUGCAACCGAACUAACAACUCGUAUUUAAGAAAAACGAAAAAGAGAUUUUAUUUGAAGCUAACGUCAAAAAGCAACACACCAAUAAUUAUAGAUACAUAUUUACAUAUAUGUAUAUAGAAAGCAUAUAAAGAUCGCCAAAACCAACAUUACACUAUUUUUUGCAACAAUAUCAUGUCCGAUCUUGGCAGUGGCGACGAAGGCAUUUCUGGCUCAAAAUACAAUGCAAGUGGCAUGGAGGGCACCAGUGGCAGAAGUGAUUUUGAUACUGCAGGCAAGCCACAAACAGGUGCGCAACAAGGAGAACAAGAAUUGGCAACGAAAAUGCUUCAAAUACAAUCGAAACGCUUCUAUUUGGAUGUGAAACAAAACCGUCGUGGGCGUUUUAUUAAAGUCGCCGAGAUUGGUGCCGAUGGAAGACGUAGUCAAGUGUAUUUGGCCUUAUCAACUGCCGCUGAAUUUCGUGAUCAUCUUUCAACAUUUAGCGACUAUUAUGCAUCUUUGGGGGGAUCCUAUCUAAACAUUGGGUGUAUACGAUCGACUUGAAAGCGGAAAAGCUGACAGAUGUAUCAAGCCCACCAAGUAGCUCCUCCCAAUUUAUUUCAAUAGUAACCGGAGGAAAAUGAUAAAAUCUAAACUCGACAACAAGUGGUAGAUGAUGUCUGUCCUUAGAAGUAACUGGAUUCAGGCACUCACUAACUUCACAACAAAAAUUGUCACUUAUAAAUAUAAGAUCCAGUAGCCUAUUUAGAGAAUUAAAAUAAUUAUUAAUUUGAAUUAAGUUAAGACUAAGUACAUUAUCGAUGAAAUACAAUUCUUGACUUGAGUUGACAUUAUUUGGCGUGAGACCGUAAUUAUUAGAAAUGCUAGUUGACCAAUUAAUAUUAGGUAGGUUAAAAUCGCCGAGCACGCAGAGGUGAUGCUCCUUAACGUUGUUUAAGACUAAUGAAGCAAUGUUAUCUGCGUGGGCCUUGUAUAAUUCGAAAGAGCUGCCCGGGGGCACGUACGACGCAAGAAAAUACAAA
rnacentral:misc_RNA from 1 species